rnacentral:snoRNA from 1 species
AGUACUUGUGUCUGUUUUGGUCUAACUUGCAGACUAAAACUUAUGGACAGGUAUGAAAAAUCCUCUUGUGCAACCCAACUCACUGUUCAGUAUGAGUUUUGAUACACACCAGAAGGAAUUUU